rnacentral:lncRNA from 1 species
AGCCAAGCAAGCUCCACCUAAGAGCAAAGGCGCUCAAGCUCCACCUAAGAGCAAAGGCUCUCAAGCUCCACCUAAGCGCAAAGGCGAUCAACCUACUCCAACAAAAAAGGUACUACCUAAGAGAAAGUGUAGGACUUGGUGAACUUGGAACUACGAUGCUUGAGUUAGGGUGCUGGAGCAACGCUUUUGGAACUUCAUAUUGACUGUGUAAUAUUAUGUAAUAUGGAAUGUGAAACUUUGUGUAAUAGGUUUCUAAAGUGUAAUAUGUCUGAAUGUUUGUGUAUGAAACUCUAUGAAUGUAAUGCUUUGUUUGUGUUAUGAAUAAAUGGCUUCUUCUUAUAUGCGUUGUUUUAAAUUUUAAUGAAUAGGAUGGGAAAAAGAUUGCUACAUAAACUAAUGAUUUUGAUUUUGGAGUGAGUACACAAGACUUGCGGGACCUGUCCCAAGCUACAUUUGUUGAGGGUUUUGAUCUGUCUCAAGUGAAAGUUGAGACCUCAUGUAAAUCAAAACCGUUGAACAUGGCUCCACUGCAGUGG